CCUAGUGGCGCACGGGUGAGUAACAUGUGGGAAUCUACCUGAAGGUUCGGAAUAACUGCGGGAAACUGUAGCUAAUACCGGAUGUGUCUGCAAAGAGAAAGAUUUAUCGCCUUCAGAUGAGCCCGCACUAGAUUAGCUAGUUGGUGAGGUAACUGCUCCACCAAGGCUACGAUCUAUAGCUGAUUUGAGAGGAUGAUCAGCCACACUGGGACUGAGACACGGCCCAGACUCCUACGGGAGGCAGCAGUAGGGAAUAUUGGACAAUGGGGGAAACCCUGAUCCAGCAAUGCCGCGUGAGUGAAGAAGGCCUUCGGGUUGUAAAACUCUUUCAUAAAUGAUGAUAAUGACAUUAGUUUAAGAAGAAGCCCCGGCUAACUUCGUGCCAGCAGCCGCGGUAAUACGAAGGGGGCUAGCGUUGUUCGGAAUCACUGGGCGUAAAGCGUAUGUAGGCGGAUCAAAAAGUUAGAUGUGAAAUCCCUGGGCUCAACCCAGGAACUGCAUUUAAAACUAGUGAUCUAGAAUUUGGUAGGGGUUAGUAGAAUUUCCAGUGUAGAGGUGAAAUUCGUAGAUAUUGGAAAGAAUACCAGUGGCGAAGGCGACUAACUGGGCCAUUUUUGACGCUGAGAUACGAAAGCGUGGGUAGCAAACAGGAUUAGAUACCCUGGUAGUCCACGCAGUAAACGAUGAGUGCUAGUCGCUGGGAC
rnacentral:rRNA from 1 species